AGGCCUAACACAUGCAAGUCGAGCGGUAGCACAGAGAGCUUGCUCUCGGGUGACGAGCGGCGGACGGGUGAGUAAUGUCUGGGAAACUGCCUGAUGGAGGGGGAUAACUACUGGAAACGGUAGCUAAUACCGCAUAACGUCGCAAGACCAAAGUGGGGGACCUUCGGGCCUCAUGCCAUCAGAUGUGCCCAGAUGGGAUUAGCUAGUAGGUGGGGUAAUGGCUCACCUAGGCGACGAUCCCUAGCUGGUCUGAGAGGAUGACCAGCCACACUGGAACUGAGACACGGUCCAGACUCCUACGGGAGGCAGCAGUGGGGAAUAUUGCACAAUGGGCGCAAGCCUGAUGCAGCCAUGCCGCGUGUAUGAAGAAGGCCUUCGGGUUGUAAAGUACUUUCAGCGAGGAGGAAGGCGUUAAGGUUAAUAACCUUGGCGAUUGACGUUACUCGCAGAAGAAGCACCGGCUAACUCCGUGCCAGCAGCCGCGGCAAUACGGAGGGUGCAAGCGUUAAUCGGAAUUACUGGGCGUAAAGCGCACGCAGGCGGUCUGUCAAGUCGGAUGUGAAAUCCCCGGGCUCAACCUGGGAACUGCAUUCGAAACUGGCAGGCUAGAGUCUUGUAGAGGGGGGUAGAAUUCCAGGUGUAGCGGUGAAAUGCGUAGAGAUCUGGAGGAAUACCGGUGGCGAAGGCGGCCCCCUGGACAAAGACUGACGCUCAGGUGCGAAAGCGUGGGGAGCAAACAGGAUUAGAUACCCUGGUAGUCCACGCCGUAAACGAUGUCGACUUGGAGGUUGUGCCCUUGAGGCGUGGCUUCCGGAGCUAACGCGUUAAGUCGACCGCCUGGGGAGUACGGCCGCAAGGUUAAAACUCAAAUGAAUUGACGGGGGCCCGCACAAGCGGUGGAGCAUGUGGUUUAAUUCGAUGCAACGCGAAGAACCUUACCUACUCUUGACAUCCAGAGAACUUAGCAGAGAUGCUUUGGUGCCUUCGGGAACUCUGAGACAGGUGCUGCAUGGCUGUCGUCAGCUCGUGUUGUGAAAUGUUGGGUUAAGUCCCGCAACGAGCGCAACCCUUAUCCUUUGUUGCCAGCGGUCCGGCCGGGAACUCAAAGGAGACUGCCAGUGAUAAACUGGAGGAAGGUGGGGAUGACGUCAAGUCAUCAUGGCCCUUACGAGUAGGGCUACACACGUGCUACAAUGGCAUAUACAAAGAGAAGCGACCUCGCGAGAGCAAGCGGACCUCAUAAAGUAUGUCGUAGUCCGGAUUGGAGUCUGCAACUCGACUCCAUGAAGUCGGAAUCGCUAGUAAUCGUAGAUCAGAAUGCUACGGUGAAUACGUUCCCGGGCCUUGUACACACCGCCCGUCACACCAUGGGAGUGGGUUGCAAAAGAAGUAGGUAGCUUAACCUUCGGGAGGGCGCUUACCACUUUGUGAUUCAUGACUGGGGUG
rnacentral:rRNA from 1 species